ACUCCUGCGGGAGGCAGCAGUGAGGAAUAUUGGACAAUGGGUGGAAGCCUGAUCCAGCCAUCCCGCGUGCAGGAAGACGGCCCUAUGGGUUGUAAACUGCUUUUAUCUGGGGAUAAACCUACUUACGUGUAAGUAGCUGAAGGUACCAGAAGAAUAAGCACCGGCUAACUCCGUGCCAGCAGCCGCGGUAAUACGGAGGGUGCAAGCGUUAUCCGGAUUUAUUGGGUUUAAAGGGUCCGUAGGCGGACUGAUAAGUCAGUGGUGAAAUCCGACAGCUUAACUGUCGAACUGCCAUUGAUACUGUUAGUCUUGAGUAAGGUUGAAGUGGCUGGAAUAAGUAGUGUAGCGGUGAAAUGCAUAGAUAUUACUUAGAACACCAAUUGCGAAGGCAGGUCACUAAGUCUUAACUGACGCUGAUGGACGAAAGCGUGGGGAGCGAACAGGAUUAGAAACCCGUGUAGUCCCAUG
rnacentral:rRNA from 1 species